CUGGUUUACCUGAAAUCUUGGGCAGCAGGAGUUUCUGUUGUGGAGCCGCUUGCACUGCCAUCAUCACUGUCACCUCGCUGGAGGCCGGCGGGGGACGAACGUAGCCGAUCCGGACGAAAAGGUGGAAGUGCAGAGGAGGAAGGCCCAGGGCCACGUCAAAAUGGCCGCCGCCCUCCCCCCUCCGUCGUCCUCC